rnacentral:rRNA from 1 species
UACGGAGGGGGCUAGCGUUGUUCGGAAUUACUGGGCGUAAAGGGCGCGUAGGCGGCCUACUAAGUCAGACGUGAAAUCCCCCGGCUUAACCUGGGAACUGCGUCUGAUACUGGAAGGCUUGAGUAUGGGAGAGGGAUGUAGAAUUCCAGGUGUAGCGGUGAAAUGCGUAGAUAUCUGGAGGAAUACCGGUGGCGAAGGCGGCAUCCUGGACCAUUACUGACGCUGAGGCGCGAAAGCUAGGGGAGCAAACGGG